rnacentral:rRNA from 1 species
CCAAUAGCGUAUAUUAAAGUUGUUGCAGUUAAAAAGCUCGUAGUUGAAUUUCGGGAUCAAUAUGUCGGUCGUGCCUUCGGUACGUACUGGCAUCAUUGAUUUCUCCCUUCUGACGAACCACGAUGUCAUUAAUUUGGUGUCAUGGGGAGUCAGGACUGUUACUUUGAAAAAAUUAGAGUGUUUAAAGCAGGCUCACGCUUGAAUACAUUAGCAUGGAAUAAUGAAAUAGGACGUUUGACCCUAUUUUGUUGGUUUCUAGGAUCAACGUAAUGAUUAAUAGGGAUAGUUGGGGGCAUUAGUAUUCAAUUGUCAGAGGUGAAAUUCUUGGAUUUAUUGAAGACUAACUACUGCGAAAGCAUUUGCCAAGGAUGUUUUCAUUAAUCAAGAACGAAAGUUAGGGGAUCGAAGACGAUCAGAUACCGUCGUAGUCUUAACCAUAAACUAUGCCGACUAGGGAUCGGAUGAUGUUAAUUUUUUAAUGACUCAUUCGGCGCCUUACG